UUCAAACAUAUUGUGUAAUGUGAAUUGUCAAUGAUCACGGCCCUACGGAUCCUCAUAGGCCAAUUAUGCAACCGAUAUGGUUCAUAUGUAUUGAAAUUGAUUAUAUGUACACAUGAAGAUAAUUGAAAGAGUGAAAUGAGAAACGUCAUUGUUUGCUAACUGAUAGACUUUGAUCAUGGGGAUUAUAGAUUGUAUAACCAUUCCCUGUUUGUAUUCUUUCAUGAUUUAUGAUAAAUAGUUACGAGCCUAAAUGUCUCGCGGAUGAUUACUAUUGACUUAAUGAACUGAACUGUUGACCUCCCUAACUUGUGUUAAUAAUGAAUGAUAUGAUUUGAUCUUUGAUUAUGAAUCUGAUUGGAUACAUGUUAUUUGUUUCCUUUGUGAUGCAGCACAGACUACUCAGUAAAUAUACCACUUUAUGGUUAAAGGAAUUCCUGCCUCAGUCUCAUCCAUUCCUCUGUCACCUGACACGUGACCACCUGUUCACCUUCACUGUCAGUCAUCCUACCUGUCCAGCUACUCACACAGAUUCCACUAAUCUUUCAACAUCAGUCAAAACCACCGGGCCUAAGGCUCUUCCACUGGCUGAGGAUGUGAGGGCUAGCAGCGGGAAACUAUCUUUUCUACAAAGGCUGGUCAGGCUGACAAGCAACUUAAAGCUAUUCAAGAAGGGGAACAAGAAGGAUUCCCACCGCUCUGAAUCAGAACAAGUACAGACCACUGCUGAAGAUGGCAUGCUGCCCAGCAUAGUGCCACAUGCUGCCAUGUCUGCACUGCCAAAGGAUCUCCCCGCCAGCUCCCAACAGGAGACGCCUCACAAACGUCCACUUCUCGUCAGGAUGUUUUCUGCCAUCUCCAAAGGCCUGUUCAAGCCCUUCAAACAGUCCUUAAAGACCAAGUAACUUCAGACAAUUAAUUCAACGUCAUUCAUUGCAUUAAAUUGGCCUUUGUCUUCUUAUGUGCUCCCGUUAACAGACCAGAUUACAAUACUGGUCUUUUAAAUGUUAGCAGUGAUAGCAACAUUAACUAUAGUGGUGUGUGUAUAGCCCUUCUACACAGUCUGACCCUUCUGACACUGUGUGACAUGCCCUCUGAUCCAGUGAUCUAGGAUCUUCUGAGUGGCUUUAGGCCUGAAUCUCUGCCCUCCUGCCCAAAUAAAUGUUUUCUCUUCUGAUAUAUCUGCCACUGUCAGCAGCCAGCAGGGGAAAACAGACAACGCUGUUGAGAGCUUUCUUUUCUCCCUCAUGACUAAAACACUGAGCAAGGCUUUUAUCUAUUGCAGCAUAUUCCAUCUUUUGAUUUAACCUAUUAUACGGUAGAAGUACCCAUUAUUUCCCAACGGUUAUAUCACAGGAAAUGUGUUAUAAAAAGUAAACUUACAGUGCAUCCGGAAAGUAUUCAGACCACUUGACUUUUUCUACAUUG